UUCCGGUUGAUCCUGCCGGACCUCACUGCUAUCGGGGUGGGACUAAAACAUGCAAGUUGAGCGCCUCCAAGCUAUGGUGAAGGCGCAGCAAACGGCUCAGUAACACGUGGCUAACCUACCCUUAGGACGGAGACACCCCCGGGAAACUGGGGUUAAUCCCCGAUAGGUAAGGACUCCUGGAAUGGACCCUUGCUGAAAAGACGUUGAGUCCAUGCUAUUCAGCGUCGCCUAAGGAUGAGGCCGCGGCCGAUCAGGUUGUUGGUGAGGCAACGGCUCACCAAGCCUAUAACCGGUACGGGCCGUGAGAGCGGAAGCCCGGAGAUGGGAACUGAGACAAGGUCCCAGGCCCUACGGGGCGCAGCAGUUGCGAAAACUCCGCAAUGCGCGAAAGCGUGACGGGGCUACCCCGAGUGCCGCCCGUUGAGGGCGGCUUUUCCAUGGUGUAAUGAGCCGUGGGAAUAAGGAGAGGGCAAGACUGGUGUCAGCCGCCGCGGUAAUACCAGCUCUCCGAGUGGUGAGGAUGUUUAUUUGGCCUAAAGCGUUCGUAGCCGGCUUGACAAGUCUUUCGUUAAAUCCAACGAUUUAAUCGUUGGUCUGCGGGAGAUACUGUUGGGCUAGGAGGCGGGAGAAGCCGACGGUAUUCUCGGGGUAGGGGUGAAAUCCUGUAAUCCCGGGAGGACCACCAGUGGCGAAGGCGGUCGGCUAGAACGCGCUCGACGGUGAGGGACGAAAGCUGGGGUAGCGAACCGGAUUAGAGACCCGGAUAGUCCCAGCUGUAAACGAUGCGGGCUAGGUGUUGGGGUGGCUACGAGCCACUCCGGUGCCGCAUGGAAGCAAUUAAGCCCGCCGCCUGGGGAGUACGGCCGCAGGCUGAAACUUAAAGAUUGGCGGGGGGAGCACCACAAGCGUGAAGCCUGGCGGUUAAUGGGAAUCAACGCCGGUAAUCCUCUGG
rnacentral:rRNA from 1 species